rnacentral:rRNA from 1 species
UACGUAGGGGGCAAGCGUUAUCCGGAUUUACUGGGUGUAAAGGGAGCGUAGACGGCUAAGCAAGUCUGAAGUGAAAGCCCAGGGCUCAACCCUGGGACUGCUUUGGAAACUGUGUAGCUAGAGUGCAGGAGAGGUAAGUGGAAUUCCUAGUGUAGCGGUGAAAUGCGUAGAUAUUAGGAGGAACGCCAGUGGCGAAGGCGGCUUACUGGACUGUAACUGACGUUGAGGCUCGAAAGCAUGGGUAGCGAAC